CUUUUUGAUCAGACGAACACCGAAAUGCUUUUAGUAAGGAGCUCUAUCCGGAAGAAAUGUUUAUUGACAUAUAUUAUUUAAAAUGCUUCAGACCUUAAACAACCUUCGACCGAACUAAUGGGAGGAACAAAAGGGUCCACAGCGAUUUCCGUGAAAGGGUAAACGAUAUAUCAGCGACGACUAGCAGCGCUGGUUAAACAUCAUCGGCAAUAAAGCAUGCUUUGCAUCGAGCGAACAGUUGCCUUUAGUCUGCAUUUGGAUUAAGGGGAGGGGUGGAUUAAAAGUGAAAAUAACGUUCUGGAUCUCUUUAACGCUAAACAUCAGAACGGAACAACCGAUGGAAAAGCUUCGAGCGUAUUACGCGAAUUAGUGUCGUUUCCACCCUCGCAGCUCGUCCCGUGAAUCGCAUUAAACGUUAAUGCUUAUAUAUUAAUAUAUUAAUCGAGCAGCUGAACGUGGAAACUGAACGAUUCAGCAGCGGCUCUAUGCCAGGAUUUUGCAACGCCAUUAAUCAAAUAAUAAAUAAGUUUGGAUAACUUUCGUAGCACGAUGGUUGAAAAUGUUGAACCUGUUUCAUUAGCGAUUAAUUUAUUGAUAAUGUGAGGGUGGGAAUUUAACUGUUCGAUGGGAGUCAUUGAAUUUUGUGGACUAAAAAUGUGCGAAAAGAUCGAAUGUUCGAUGCUACGCUGAGAGAGGAACGAGACUCUUCAAAAUAUUUAGUAGAUAUGCACUUAAGUUGUUAGAAAAAUCAAAGAAGAUUGUAAAAUAGGAAAAGAUGCGUUGAAUAUGGUACUGGUUCAGAGGGUUUCUGAAUGAUUAUAACGCAGAAUGAUGUUCGAUAUUACAGCAUUUAAAUAUAACACUAUAAUAUUUAA